CAAGCGUUGUCCGGAAUUAUUGGGCGUAAAGAGCUCGUAGGCGGUUUGUCGCGUCGACUGUGAAAACCCGAGGCUUAACCUCGGGCCUGCAGUCGAUACGGGCAGACUAGAGUUCGGUAGGGGAGACUGGAAUUCCUGGUGUAGCGGUGAAAUGCGCAGAUAUCAGGAGGAACACCGGUGGCGAAGGCGGGUCUCUGGGCCGAUAUUGACGCUGAGGAGCGAAAGCGUGGGGAGCGAACAGG
rnacentral:rRNA from 1 species